rnacentral:rRNA from 1 species
UUAAGCGACUAAGCGUACACGGUGGAUGCCCUGGCAGUCAGAGGCGAUGAAGGACGUGCUAAUCUGCGAUAAGCGUCGGUAAGGUGAUAUGAACCGUUAUAACCGGCGAUUUCCGAAUGGGGAAACCCAGUGUGUUUCGACACACUAUCAUUAACUGAAUCCAUAGGUUAAUGAGGCGAACCGGGGGAACUGAAACAUCUAAGUACCCCGAGGAAAAGAAAUCAACCGAGAUUCCCCCAGUAGCGGCGAGCGAACGGGGAGGAGCCCAGAGCCUGAAUCAGUGUGUGUGUUAGUGGAAGCGUCUGGAAAGGCGCGCGAUACAGGGUGACAGCCCCGUACACAAAAAUGCACAUGCUGUGAGCUCGAUGAGUAGGGCGGGACACGUGGUAUCCUGUCUGAAUAUGGGGGGACCAUCCUCCAAGGCUAAAUACUCCUGACUGACCGAUAGUGAACCAGUACCGUGAGGGAAAGGCGAAAAGAACCCCGGCGAGGGGAGUGAAAAAGAACCUGAAACCGUGUACGUACAAGCAGUGGGAGCCUCUUUUAUGGGGUGACUGCGUACCUUUUGUAUAAUGGGUCAGCGACUUAUAUUCUGUAGCAAGGUUAACCGAAUAGGGGAGCCGAAGGGAAACCGAGUCUUAACCGGGCGUUAAGUUGCAGGGUAUAGACCCGAAACCCGGUGAUCUAGCCAUGGGCAGGUUGAAGGUUGGGUAACACUAACUGGAGGACCGAACCGACUAAUGUUGAAAAAUUAGCGGAUGACUUGUGGCUGGGGGUGAAAGGCCAAUCAAACCGGGAGAUAGCUGGUUCUCCCCGAAAGCUAUUUAGGUAGCGCCUCGUGAAUUCAUCUCCGGGGGUAGAGCACUGUUUCGGCAAGGGGGUCAUCCCGACUUACCAACCCGAUGCAAACUGCGAAUACCGGAGAAUGUUAUCACGGGAGACACACGGCGGGUGCUAACGUCCGUCGUGAAGAGGGAAACAACCCAGACCGCCAGCUAAGGUCCCAAAGUCAUGGUUAAGUGGGAAACGAUGUGGGAAGGCCCAGACAGCCAGGAUGUUGGCUUAGAAGCAGCCAUCAUUUAAAGAAAGCGUAAUAGCUCACUGGUCGAGUCGGCCUGCGCGGAAGAUGUAACGGGGCUAAACCAUGCACCGAAGCUGCGGCAGCGACACUGUGUGUUGUUGGGUAGGGGAGCGUUCUGUAAGCCUGUGAAGGUGUGCUGUGAGGCAUGCUGGAGGUAUCAGAAGUGCGAAUGCUGACAUAAGUAACGAUAAAGCGGGUGAAAAGCCCGCUCGCCGGAAGACCAAGGGUUCCUGUCCAACGUUAAUCGGGGCAGGGUGAGUCGACCCCUAAGGCGAGGCCGAAAGGCGUAGUCGAUGGGAAACAGGUUAAUAUUCCUGUACUUGGUGUUACUGCGAAGGGGGGACGGAGAAGGCUAUGUUGGCCGGGCGACGGUUGUCCCGGUUUAAGCGUGUAGGCUGGUUUUCCAGGCAAAUCCGGAAAAUCAAGGCUGAGGCGUGAUGACGAGGCACUACGGUGCUGAAGCAACAAAUGCCCUGCUUCCAGGAAAAGCCUCUAAGCAUCAGGUAACAUCAAAUCGUACCCCAAACCGACACAGGUGGUCAGGUAGAGAAUACCAAGGCGCUUGAGAGAACUCGGGUGAAGGAACUAGGCAAAAUGGUGCCGUAACUUCGGGAGAAGGCACGCUGAUAUGUAGGUGAAGUCCCUCGCGGAUGGAGCUGAAAUCAGUCGAAGAUACCAGCUGGCUGCAACUGUUUAUUAAAAACACAGCACUGUGCAAACACGAAAGUGGACGUAUACGGUGUGACGCCUGCCCGGUGCCGGAAGGUUAAUUGAUGGGGUCAGCGCAAGCGAAGCUCUUGAUCGAAGCCCCGGUAAACGGCGGCCGUAACUAUAACGGUCCUAAGGUAGCGAAAUUCCUUGUCGGGUAAGUUCCGACCUGCACGAAUGGCGUAAUGAUGGCCAGGCUGUCUCCACCCGAGACUCAGUGAAAUUGAACUCGCUGUGAAGAUGCAGUGUACCCGCGGCAAGACGGAAAGACCCCGUGAACCUUUACUAUAGCUUGACACUGAACAUUGAGCCUUGAUGUGUAGGAUAGGUGGGAGGCUUUGAAGUGUGGACGCCAGUCUGCAUGGAGCCGACCUUGAAAUACCACCCUUUAAUGUUUGAUGUUCUAACGUGGACCCGUGAUCCGGGUUGCGGACAGUGUCUGGUGGGUAGUUUGACUGGGGCGGUCUCCUCCUAAAGAGUAACGGAGGAGCACGAAGGUUGGCUAAUCCUGGUCGGACAUCAGGAGGUUAGUGCAAUGGCAUAAGCCAGCUUGACUGCGAGCGUGACGGCGCGAGCAGGUGCGAAAGCAGGUCAUAGUGAUCCGGUGGUUCUGAAUGGAAGGGCCAUCGCUCAACGGAUAAAAGGUACUCCGGGGAUAACAGGCUGAUACCGCCCAAGAGUUCAUAUCGACGGCGGUGUUUGGCACCUCGAUGUCGGCUCAUCACAUCCUGGGGCUGAAGUAGGUCCCAAGGGUAUGGCUGUUCGCCAUUUAAAGUGGUACGCGAGCUGGGUUUAGAACGUCGUGAGACAGUUCGGUCCCUAUCUGCCGUGGGCGCUGGAGAACUGAGGGGGGCUGCUCCUAGUACGAGAGGACCGGAGUGGACGCAUCACUGGUGUUCGGGUUGUCAUGCCAAUGGCACUGCCCGGUAGCUAAAUGCGGAAGAGAUAAGUGCUGAAAGCAUCUAAGCACGAAACUUGCCCCGAGAUGAGUUCUCCCUGACCCUUUAAGGGUCCUGAAGGAACGUUGAAGACGACGACGUUGAUAGGCCGGGUGUGUAAGCGCAGCGAUGCGUUGAGCUAACCGGUACUAAUGAACCGUGAGGCUUAACCUU